GCUGAGGAGAGAGGGCUCCCUAAGCUUGGGAGCAGAGGGCAGAGGAAGAUGGGGAGGGCUAACUUUCAAGUGCAAGAAAGAGUGGGCAACGGCAGAGUGUUGAGAAGGCACUCAAGAAACAGAGUCGUGAGUGAUGGGCUCAAGGGAAGAAAGGAAAGUUGUGACAAGACCUAGAAGGUAGCAGAGCCUCAAGUGCUAGGCUAAGGAGUUGGAAUCUGCUCUGGGAAUGAAGUGGUUGGUGGGAGAUAAAUUACACCUGAAAGACCACACUUGAAGCCCAGCUCGUUAGGGAAUUGAUCAUGUUAAAGUAUGCUGUGACACCGCCUCACAGGCUGCAUUCUCCUGGUACAUCUUGGCUCCUAAAAUGACCUCAUGCCCUUAUCUCUGGUUUCCCUCCCCCCCAAGGCCACAGUGGUCCAGGAAAGUUGAAACCUGUGUCUGCAGGACUGGGCCCAUAAAAGCAAUCUGGCCUGUGAUAGGUUAAAAGUAACUCACUCCUCAUAAAUAAGCAAUAGCCCACCCCAAACUGAUAAAAGGACCUUCCUUUCUUUGUUCUCUCCUUCUGCUGCUUCUUCCUCCUCUCUCUCUCUCUCCUCUCCGCCUCCCGGCCUUUGUGCUCCGCCUGACUCUCUACAAUAAAGACCUCCUGUCGGACCUCUCGGACCUCUCGAACUACAUCUCCCGAGGUGCACCGCGAGAGAACUCACCUUGCAACCCAGGACUACAAUUCCCAGAGUUUCCUGCGCACGAAACGCCGUGGGAUGCAGUGCCAUUUCUCCCCCUGGUGGUAGUCUAAGGAGCAGCCGCCACGAAAAUAGGUUUCAGCGGAAGACUAUUGUUUGUACUCCGAUAAGUAACCCUCCGCCUCACCGUUCCUCAAAUAGCUCCCGGGCGUGCCUAGAAAUAACGCUGGCUUUUCUUUAUUCUCAGAAAAAAGAGGAGGAGGUCGUGUAUUGUUUUGUGUUCCCUUACCCUUUG
rnacentral:lncRNA from 1 species